UUUUUUUGCUGCUGACAAUGUGGAGUUAUCCCCGAGCAGCUUUCUGUGUUCUCUGUGCUUGCCAGAAGCGGUGCCCCGUGAAACUUGUUCAGAGGCUAUCUGCAACUGUUUCUAGCAGUCCACUCCCUAGAGAUGUUUCUGGUGAGUUCUCGAAAGUGUACAACUCGGAAGAUGUGGAGGCUGUCUGGUUGGAUUGGUGGGAGGCUAGUGGCAUUCAUGACCCCUGCAAAGAGGCG